rnacentral:tRNA from 1 species
UCUACUUUGGCAGAAAAGUGCGCUGGGCUUAGAAUCCAUAUAUGUGAAAUUGAAUUUUACAGGUAGAA